rnacentral:rRNA from 1 species
UACGGAGGAUGCAAGCGUUAUCCGGAUUUAUUGGGCGUAAAGAGCGCGCAGGUGGUUGAUUAAGUCUGAUGUGAAAGCCCACGGCUUAACCGUGGAGGGUCAUUGGAAACUGGUCGACUUGAGUGCAGAAGAGGGAAGUGGAAUUCCAUGUGUAGCGGUGAAAUGCGUAGAGAUAUGGAGGAACACCAGUGGCGAAGGCGGCUUCCUGGUCUGUAACUGACACUGAGGCGCGAAAGAGUGGGGAGCAAACAGGAUUAGA